GCCGAAGUGGUGGAAUUGGUAGACGCGCAUGGUUCAGGUCCAUGUGGUGGAAACACCGUGGAAGUUCGAGUCUUCUCUUCGGCACCA
rnacentral:tRNA from 3 species